ACUUUUCCCUGCUUUCUUGGUUCUCCACUCUAUAAAUCCAUCACUUUUGCGAUCAACAUAUAUAUACACAGAAGGCUAUAGAUCGAGAAAGGAGACGAAGAAAUAAAUAUGGCUAAGCUUAACUCCUUUUGCAUGAUAUCAUUCCUCCUCCUUCUCACGCUAACUUGCGCUUCUUCCCGGCCGAUGGGUACGCCUUAUCACGACGUUACUCCGAUGGAGCAUAGUAAGGAUAAGGCAACAGCGAAGGUAGAAGUGGACGAUAGAUGUGAAGGUCUAGGAGAAGAAGAAUGUUUGAUGAGAAGAACGCUAGAGGCUCACCUUGAUUAUAUCUAUACCCAGAGGCAUAAGCAGCCUUAGAUUAAUUGUCUUAUCUCUUAAUUUGUAGUUCUCUUCAUUUUUCUUCAUUAUAUAUAUAUAUAUGUAGUUUAUUCUUUUUCUUCCUUCUUCUUUCGUAGUUAUGGACAUGUAGAUGUAUUAAUGACUCUUCCGGUCCCUUUUCUCAUCUGUGAAAUUUAUUAUGUUAUCCAAUCAAUCUAUAGUUUGCGUUUAUUUAA